CUGCGAAUGGCUCAUUAUAUAAGUUAUCGUUUAUUUGAUAGUACCUUACUACUUGGAUAACCGUGGUAAUUCUAGAGCUAAUACAUGCUAAAAAUCCCGACUCCGGAAGGGAUGUAUUUAUUAGAUUAAAAACCAAUGCCCUCUGGGCUCUCUGGUGAUUCAUGAUAACUUCUCGAAUCGCAUGGCCUUGCGCCGGCGAUGGUUCAUUCAAAUUUCUUCCCUAUCAACUUUCGAUGUUUGGGUAGUGGCCAAACAUGGUUGCAACGGGUAACGGAGGGUUAGGGCUCGACCCCGGAGAAGGAGCCUGAGAAACGGCUACUACAUCCAAGGAAGGCAGCAGGCGCGCAAAUUACCCAAUCCCGAUCCGGGGAGGUAGUGACAAUAAAUACUGAUACAGGGCUCUUUUGGGUCUUGUAAUCGGAAUGAGUACAAUUUAAAUCCCUUAACGAGGAACAAUUGGAGGGCAAGUCUGGUGCCAGCAGCCGCGGUAAUUCCAGCUCCAAUAGCGUAUAUUAAAGUUGUUGUGGUUAAAAAGCUCGUAGUUGAACCUUGGGCCUGGCUGGCCGGUCCGCCUCACCGCGUGCACUGGUCCGGCCGGGCCUUUCCCUCUGUGGAACCCCAUGCCCUUCACUGGGCGUGGCGGGGAAACAGGACUUUUACUUUGAAAAAAUUAGAGUGCUCCAGGCAGGCCUAUGCUCGAAUACAUUAGCAUGGAAUAAUAAAAUAGGACGUGCGGUUCUAUUUUGUUGGUUUCUAGGACCGCCGUAAUGAUUAAUAGGGACAGUCGGGGGCAUCAGUAUUCAAUUGUCAGAGGUGAAAUUCUUGGAUUUAUUGAAGACUAACUACUGCGAAAGCAUUUGCCAAGGAUGUUUUCAUUAAUCAGGAACGAAAGUUAGGGGAUCGAAGACGAUCAGAUACCGUCGUAGUCUUAACCAUAAACUAUGCCGACUAGGGAUCGGCCGAUGUUAUUUUUUGACUCGUUCGGC
rnacentral:rRNA from 1 species